AAACUAACAAGGAUUCCCCUAGUAACGGCGAGUGAAGUGGGAAAAGCUCAACUUUGAAAUCUGGCACCUUCGGUGUCCGAAUUGUAGUCUCUAGAAGUGUUUUCCGUGCUGGCCCAUGUGUGAGUCUGUUGGAACACAGCGUCAUAGAGGGUGACAACCCCGUUCAUAACAUGGACCCCAGUACUUUGUGAUACACUCUCGACGAGUCGAGUUGUUUGGGAAUGCAGCUCAAAUUGGGUGGUAAAUUCCAUCUAAAGCUAAAUAUUGGCGAGAGACCGAUAGCAAACAAGUACCGUGAGGGAAAGAUGAAAAGCACUUUGGAAAGAGAGUUAACAGUACGUGAAAUUGCUGAAAGGGAAACGAUUGAAGUCAGACGUGCGUGAUGCAGUUCAGCUCUGGUUCGCCAGAGUGUACUCUGUGUCUUUGCAGGCCAACAUCGGUUUCACGAGGCGGAUAAAGGCUUGAGAAAUGUGGCAGCUUCGGCUGUGUUAUAGUCUCUUGCUGAAUACGCCUCGAGAGACCGAGGAACGCAGCGCGCCGCAAGGCAAAGCUCCCGGGCUUUUCGCGCUUAGGAUGUUGGUGAAAUGGCUUUAAACGAC
rnacentral:rRNA from 1 species